rnacentral:rRNA from 1 species
UACAGAGGGUGCAAGCGUUAAUCGGAAUUACUGGGCGUAAAGCGUGCGUAGACGGUUACAUAAGUCGGGUGUGAAAGCCCCGGGCUCAACCUGGGAAUUGCAUUCGAGACUGCGUAGCUAGGGUGCGGAAGAGGGAAGCGGAAUUUCCGGUGUAGCGGUGAAAUGCGUAGAUAUCGGAAGGAACACCAGUGGCGAAAGCGGCUCCUGGUCCAGCACCGACGUUCAGGCACGAAAGCGUGGGAGCAAACAGG